ensembl:lncRNA
CACAUAUGGGAAAAAGACUUUGUAAAUCAAAACGUGUUCUGCAAAUAAUUAACCAGUUCAAAUGGAUUUGGGAAGAACGAGCCAACCCUGGGAAGCCUCAUUUCCGGCCUUGCUCUAGGUCCUGCCUGACAUCACUGAUGCAGGCUCCACAGGGCAGCAGGUGGUCACCGCCUUUCUGAAAAAGCCCACAGAACAGCCAGAAACUUCUUCACUUCCCCUUCCAACUGUCACUCCCUGCGUCCAGACAUAACGGCCCCUUCAGGUUCCUGCACGAGCUAAGCUGUAUCUUCCAUCUGUCAUACUCUGUGAUACACUGUGAGGCUCUUUGCAUCCCUAGUUUUAAAUUUUUUAUUUCAGAAAAAUUAAAAUCUCCCCUUCUGGAGAGCAUUCUUCUGCCAUGGCCUUAAAAUCUGACUCAGCGGUGGAGCUGUUGGUAGGAGCCCCAGUUUAUACUGUUAGGGCAGGGGACAGGCAUGAUCGGGGGCUCUGAGCAGAAAAUUGAAACAUCUUUUCAAUCUUGCCUGUGAGCUGAUUAUAUACUGUGAUGGAGUAAAGAGAGAGCAGGGCCUGUGUCUCAGCACUGUGAGACUUUGGGCAGUUCCAUCCCCCACUCUGAGCCUCUAUUCCCCUUCCAAGAAAUGGGAAUGAUGAUGGCUUCCCCAAGUAUCACAAGGACAACAAGGCGCAGCCCUCAGGAAGGCUCUGAGUACGGACCUGCCCUAUAAGUGGCAUUUCAUCAGCCUCGGGUCUCCUCCUCUCUCAACAGUCCAUGCCAAAGACCAGGAGCCAUCAGUACCAGCCCAGCGCUGCCCUUGGCUUGGGCACUGUGGAACCAGGAGGAGAUGGGAGGCCUGGUGGGCAGGGUGGAGGGGACUGUGAAGACUGGUGUUCACGACCACCCAGGAUGGUGGCUGUCCUGCUUGUCGCUUAAUCGGCCCGAGUCCAUUAAUUCACAGCUUGCUGCUUCCCAAGGAUACAGCCCCUUCCUCUGCCUUCCUUCCGCCCGGGCCCAACGUCUGCCACCCCCAUCCGAGUGUCCACAUCACUCCUCUGUCACGUGACGAGCUUCAGUCAGCCCUCCUGCCAGGGACCGCUGUCCCUCAGUCCCCCGUCCCCAACCUUGCCCUGUUCUCGGUUCCUGGACUGGCAGGGCCUCAGCCAUGCUGUGGACCUCAGCACAGAUGGCUCUGAGCCAGUCCCUCCCCCAGAUGGUGGCCGGGCUGCGAUGGACGUUAGAGACAGAGUCCGGGCCGGUGGGUGAGGCAUUUGGAGGCUGGGGCUAGGGGCUGGGAGCGGGUCCAUCAUGCUCCCUGACUGCCUCCUUCCCUCUGGCCCGGCCCAGCACAGCACACAGCUGACAACACAAAGAGGCUCUGGGGAACCUGGGUUCAGAAAAUGGAUUAAGGGGUGAGAUCUCCGCCUUCAUGCUGACUUCUCCAGCCUUCCCAACACCACCUUCCAUGUCCACGUUUGCUAAGUGACCACUGUGACACUGGGCCAGGUGCUGCGGAGGGAGCAGGUGCAGGCUGAGUGCAGGGGGACUGGCAAGUCCAACCUCUGGAAGAUUCAAGAGCCAUGCAGUGUCCCAGGCCCUUCUUCCCAUUCCACUCUCCCCUGCAAAGCAAGCAAGAUAUUGGCAUAGUGGCCAGACAUAGAAGGACUCGUCCUCUGCCCGGGUCGGAGGGGAGCUUGGGCCAGACCCAGCCGCCCUGUCAGGGAGACUCCUAAGACAAAUAAGCCUAAGCCACCUCAGAGCGUGGGUUCGCUACAGGCCGUUCCUUCACUGAGAGGGUCCGCAGGGCCUAGCAGCGUGGUGCAGGGUAGGAGUGGGGAAGGGCAAGACUGGAAAAGACUCACUAUGGAGACACUAGAAACCAGGAUGUUUGGGACAGAAUCCAUCACACUGAAGUUCGGAGCUUUUUUCUCCCAAUAAAUAGCACAAGUCAUGUCGAUAUUUGAUAACUUCUCCUCUCCAAACCCAUGAUGGCGCCACGCAGGAAGUCUUGACCCACGGGAAGGGCCUAAGUGGCAACAGUCAGGGCAGAGCAGGCUGUGGAUGCCCUGCAAGCAGGGCCUUGGGCCUGUUUUAUUUUUCACUUUAUUGUAGGAAA